rnacentral:sRNA from 1 species
GCCCGGCGUGGUGGCGGGCGCCUGUAGUCCCAGCUACUAGGGAGGCUGAGGCGGGAGAAUGGCAUGAACCCGGGAGGCGGAGCUUGUAGUGAGCCGAGAUGGCGCCA